rnacentral:lncRNA from 1 species
UAUUACCUUUGGAAGCACUAAGUUGUAGACCCAUGAUUGACGAUCACCAACUUCAUUAUGAAGAAUAAAUGUGGAACAACAUUCUUGUAAUAAUAUCUCCAUCCUCCAAAUGGUCACCUCUGCAUGUGUUCACAUUUCAUUUUACAUAUUCUUGCUAGCCCAUGACCAUCUCUUUUGUUCCAUCCUCCAUUCGGUCACCUCUGCAUAAGCCCACAUUUCAUUUACAUAUUCUUGCUAUUCCAUGACCACCAAUUUUCUUCUCUUCUACCUUUUUCUAUUGAUAUUUUCUUGUUUAUCUGACAGUCAAUUUUGUUUCCUUUUUAUUUCCUGCUAAUCAGAACAACUCCACUUUAAUCUCAAUGUUUUCAGUGCCAGCACUAUAAUCUCUCUCGCCGUCAUGGUCUUCACAGCAUAUAUUCAAACAACUUUGAACUUGAAGCGUCCCCAGAUGUUCAAUCGGAGAAAAAGCGUCCUCCACUUAAAGCAUAAGGAAUCCAGCACCGGUCAUCCACCCACCCACCAGAUCCCCUCUCCUUCCUUUAAUUUUUACGGCAACACAGUAAAACGGACCUUCGCAAUGAGAGCUGUCAACUGGCUAUAGUAAAAUCAAGAAAAUUUUGUAAACCAAUUCCAUUGCAUGAUUAUCAAAUUUCCCGAUAUGCAGCUUGCUUGGUCGCAUGUAGCUAGCUCUAGCCUCCAAU